rnacentral:snRNA from 1 species
AGCUUUGCGCAGUGGCAGUAUCUUAGCCAAUCAGGUUUAUCCGAGGCGCGAUUAUUGCUAAUUGAAAACUUUUCCCAAUACCCCGCCAUGACGACUUGAAAUAUAGUCAGCAUAGGCAAUUUUUGACAGUCUCUACGGAGA